CGGCGUGCCUAAUACAUGCAAGUCGAGCGAGCUGAAUUCAAAGAUUCCUUCGGGAUGAUUUGUUGGACGCUAGCGGCGGAUGGGUGAGUAACACGUGGGCAAUCUGCCCUAAAGACUGGGAUACCACUUGGAAACAGGUGCUAAUACCGGAUAACAACAUGAAUCGCAUGAUUCAAGUUUGAAAGGCGGCGUAAGCUGUCACUUUAGGAUGAGCCCGCGGCGCAUUAGCUAGUUGGUGGGGUAAAGGCCUACCAAGGCAAUGAUGCGUAGCCGAGUUGAGAGACUGAUCGGCCACAUUGGGACUGAGACACGGCCCAAACUCCUACGGGAGGCAGCAGUAGGGAAUCUUCCACAAUGGACGCAAGUCUGAUGGAGCAACGCCGCGUGAGUGAAGAAGGUUUUCGGAUCGUAAAGCUCUGUUGUUGGUGAAGAAGGAUAGAGGCAGUAACUGGUCUUUAUUUGACGGUAAUCAACCAGAAAGUCACGGCUAACUACGUGCCAGCAGCCGCGGUAAUACGUAGGUGGCAAGCGUUGUCCGGAUUUAUUGGGCGUAAAGCGAGCGCAGGCGGAAUGAUAAGUCUGAUGUGAAAGCCCACGGCUCAACCGUGGAACUGCAUCGGAAACUGUCAUUCUUGAGUGCAGAAGAGGAGAGUGGAAUUCCAUGUGUAGCGGUGGAAUGCGUAGAUAUAUGGAAGAACACCAGUGGCGAAGGCGGCUCUCUGGUCUGCAACUGACGCUGAGGCUCG
rnacentral:rRNA from 1 species